ensembl:misc_RNA 7SK 7SK RNA
AGAAGAGCAAUCUGGCAGCAGCAUUUGUCACACCAGGAUUGAUUUUGCUGAUCUGGCUAGCUAAAUGGCUGCCUCUGUCCUCCCUCUCUUACCGCUCCAUGUGCAUUCCUCCUCUUUCAAGAGGAGAGCCAUUGUUGGAUAGACAGGUAACUGUGUAUAGGGUAUACAGGUAACUGUGCUCACUUACUAGAACCUCCAAACAAGCUCUUAAUAACAAUUCUACAGGAAGAUAUGUCCAGAAGUGUGGCAUCUGCUUCUUGAAAAUUCAUUGUGCACUUGUUUGUGCUGGAGGCUCUAAGAAGUUUUGGAACAAAUAUGCUUUAAU